CGAGGUGAACCUGCGGAAGGAUCAUUGUCGAAAUCGAACGAAAGAACGACCCGCGAACCGUCUUUGCGUAACGAACCGAGCUCGCGAGCAGCAAAUGCUCGUGCGUCUCGCGUCGCGUCGGCGCGGUCCUCGAAAGGGCCACGCCGCACCGACAAACUAACAAUGUCAGCACGGAUCGUGCCAAGGAGCUGUACAGGCGAGAGUCGUCGUCCCACGCCCCCGGUCCCCCUCGACUGGGGGCGGGUGACAUGCGCGACCUCUUCUYUUUAGUCUUAAUGACUYUSGGCAACGGAUAUYUCGGCUCUUGCAUCGAURAAGAACGUAGCGAAAUGCGAUACUUGGAGAGAAUUGCAGAAUCCCGCGAACCAUCAAUUCUUUGAACGCAAGUUGCGCCCGAAGCCAUCCGGCCGAGGGCACGCCUGCCUGGGUGUCGUGAAUCCCCUUGUCCCCGGGCACCCGCACGAGCAUCGUCGCGGGUAUGCCCGGGCGCAGAAUAUGGUCUCCCGUCGGAUCGGCGUGCGUCGCACGUCGUGGGGCGGUUGGCCGAAAAUCGAGCAUUGCGACGUCGGGCUCCACGGCGUUCGGUGGAUCGAACGCGAUUGGNUGCGCCGUGGUCCCGUCAUGCCGCGGUCUCCGGACUACGACGAUUCCCGUGUGCGAUCCCAGGUCAGGCGGGGCUACCCGCUGAGUUUAAG
rnacentral:rRNA from 1 species